CCGCUCACAGAAUCAGAAUCAAGAAAAAAAGAAGAAGAGAGUACUGUAAAUGGUACGCCUCAUCGGACUUUCUUAUUUCCCUCUCUUAUCCAGUCGUCUUCUCCUCUUCCCAUAUCCUACUCUCCCUCUCGUGUCUGCUGCAAACGCCCGCAACAACAACAACACCAGGAACGGAUCCUGCCCGCUCUCCUUCUCUGCAGAAGCAACAACAGCAGAAGCCAUGAAAGCUCCAGUAGCGAAGAAGGUGAAUCACGUGAUGGAGACGUUCGGUGACGUUAGGAACGACGAUUAUUACUGGCUUCGAGACGAUUCACGCUCCGAUCCGGAAGUCCUUUCCUACUUGAAAGAGGAGAAUGCGUAUACAGAUUUCGUUAUGGCAGGGACCAAAACAUUUGAAAAUGAGCUUUAUGCGGAGCUAAGAGGAAGAAUCAAGGAAGAUGAUAUUUCUGCGCCUGUCCGCAAAGGGUCUUAUUACUACUAUGAAAGGACUUUGGAGGGGAAGGAGUAUGUUCAACGCUGUAGGCGCCUUAUCCCCAAUGGCGGUGCUCCCCCUUCUGUUCAUGACAUUAUGCCAAUGGGACCUGGUGCACCGGAAGAGCAUGUGAUCUUGGAUGAGAAUGUUAAGGCUCAAGAGCAUGGGUAUUAUAGUAUUGGGGCUUUUGAAGUGAGUCCAAAUAAUAAGCUGGUUGCAUAUGCAGAAGACACUAAAGGAGACGAGAUUUAUACUGUUCAUGUCAUUGAUGCUGAGACUCAAACUCCUGUUGGGAAUCCUCUAAAGAGUGUAACGUCAUACCUUGAGUGGGCCGGUGAUGAGACUCUUGUUUACAUUACAAUGGACGAGAUACUCCGGCCAGACAAGGUGUGGUUGCACAAGUUGGGAUCUGAUCAAUCAAGUGAUCAUUGCCUCUAUCAUGAGAAAGAUGACAUGUUCUCUCUUGAUCUUCAAGCGUCCGAAAGCAAGAAAUAUUUGUUUGUUGGAUCUGAAAGUAAAAAUACUCGGUUUGUAUUUUACUUAGACGUUUCGAAGCCAGAAGAUGGGCUUAUGGUGUUGACUCCUCGUGUCUAUGGCAUUGACACAUCAGUUAGUCACCGCGGAAACCAUUUCUUUAUAAAGAAAAGAAGCGAUGAGUUCUUUAACUCAGAAUUACUUGCUUGUCCACUGGACAACCUAUCUGCCACAACAGUUCUGCUUCCUCACAGGGAAAGUGUGAAAAUACAGGACAUGCAACUUUUUAGUGAUCAUCUUGUUGUAUACGAGCGUGAAGAUGGUCUACCUAAAGUAACUAUCUAUAGCCUUCCACCCGUUGGGGAAGUGAUUGAAAGCCUUCAGGGUGGUCGGGCCGUUGAUUUUAUUGAUCCUAUAUACUCAGUGGACCCUGAAGAAGCAGAAUUUUCAUCAAGCGUUUUGCGUUUUUCUUAUAGCUCACUGAAGACUCCCCAUUCUGUUUAUGACUAUGACUUGAACACGGGCAUUUCUGUUUUGAAGAAGAUUAAGGCAGUAUUGGGUGGUUUUGAUGCAUCAAGAUAUGCGACUGAAAGGCAAUGGGCCGUUGCUGCAGAUGGCACUCGAGUACCUAUUUCAAUCGUUUAUCGAAAGGAUCUUGUGAAACUUGAUGGAUCUGGCCCAUUACUACUUCAUGGCUAUGGUUCAUAUGAGAUAUGCAUAGAUCCCAGUUUCAGAGCAACAAGGUUGUCUUUAAUAGACCGUGGCUUUAUUUAUGCAAUCGCUCAUGUUCGUGGAGGAGGUGAAAUGGGGAGGAAGUGGUAUGAAAAUGGGAAGUUGUUAAAGAAAAGGAACACCUUUACAGAUUUUAUUGCAUGUGCGGAGUAUUUAAUAGAGAACAAGUAUUGUUCAAAAGAAAAGCUAUGCAUUGAGGGAAGGAGUGCGGGUGGUCUGCUUAUUGGUGCUGUUCUUAAUAUGCGGCCGGAUUUGUUCAAGGCAGCAGUGGCGGGAGUUCCAUUUGUAGAUGUAGUCACUACAAUGCUUGAUCCAAGUAUCCCGUUGACAACAUCAGAAUGGGAGGAAUGGGGCGAUCCUCGAAAGGAGGAGUUCUAUUUCUAUAUGAAAUCCUAUUCUCCAGUUGAUAAUAUUAAACCACAAAAUUAUCCGAAUAUUCUUGCUACAGCUGGUUUAAAUGACCCCCGUGUUUUAUAUUCUGAACCUGCAAAGUUCGUGGCGAAAUUGAGGGAGAUGAAGACUGAUGACAACAUGUUAUUGUUUAAGUGCGAAUUUGGUGCUGGGCACUCCUCGAAGUCAGGAAGAAGUUAAUAGGAUUUCAAGACAGGAUGAGGUGGGAGAGGCUCCUUGAAUACAAAUUGAGGCUGUUGCUGUUGAAACCUAACUUUCAGACCAUUAGGAAAUCCACAAGCUAUUUUUCUGGCAGUCUGGUAUUUACACGGAGACUGCAUCCAGAGAUUUGAGAAGCUACAGGAAGAUGCCUUCACAUAUGCAUUCGUGCUGAAGGCAUUGGACAUGGUCCAGGCUGCUGGCUCUGAGUAAUAGGAUCGCAGCCUAAGGAAUCCUCCCAGAAUGUGGGUCAAUGCAACAACCUGACAGCUGACUCGUGUCUUCACCAUUGGUGUUAGACAAGAAUACUUUUUUUAAAAAAAACCCUUCUUUGGCUGAUGGAGCAAAAUUGAAAAUACAGCCCCACUGUUGUUAUCUUGGAGAAGUGUCAAAUUGAUUCAGGGGGUUCAACCACAUAUUAAUAUUUGUCUAUUUAUCCAGCUCCAGAAUACUGUGACAAGAUCGACAUCUUAAAAUAGCUUAGUUUGUACUUGGUUCUAGCUUUCCCCCAAUAUAAUUUUCAAGGUGUUAUGGUCA